UACGGGGGGGGGGCAAGCGUUUGUUCGGAAUUACUGGGCGUAAAGGGCUCGUAGGUGGCCAACUAAGUCAGACGUGAAAUCCCUCGGCUUAACCGGGGAACUGCGUCUGAUACUGGAUGGCUUGAGUUCGGGAGAGGGAUGCGGAAUUCCAGGUGUAGCGGUGAAAUGCGUAGAUAUCUGGAGGAACACCGGUGGCGAAGGCGGCAUCCUGGACCGACACUGACACUGAGGCACGAAAGCGUGGGGAGCAAACAGG
rnacentral:rRNA from 1 species